rnacentral:rRNA from 1 species
UACAGAGGGGGCAAGCGUUGUUCGGAAUUACUGGGCGUAAAGGGCGCGUAGGCGGCCUGCUAAGUCGAACGUGAAAUCCCUGGGCUCAACCCAGGAACUGCGUCCGAUACUGGUUGGCUUGAAUCCGGGAGAGGGACGUGGAAUUCCAGGUGUAGCGGUGAAAUGCGUAGAUAUCUGGAGGAACACCGGUGGCGAAGGCGGCGUUCUGGACUGCAACUGACACUGAGAAACGAAAGCCAGGGGAGCAAACGGG